UGUGGGAUCACGACUGAAUCCAGAAGACACCGACCAGUACAGAAGAUGCGAUUUAUAUUCGUGUUAACGUGUCUUCUACUCCUGAACGAAAAUACACUUUUCCGGUAUGUAUAAAAUUGUUUCUUAGCGAUAUGAAAUUCAUUUUACAAUUAAAACUAUAAUGCAACAUGCCGGUUCAGAAAAUUAAAUAUGUUGAAACAAGAAAAAAAACAUGUUGGAGAAUUUUUGAAGUUUGUAAAUUGGUUUAUGUCUUUCGUGUCCGUCAAUUAUGCAUUUACGGCUCAUUGUUAAAAAGUCAUGGUCAUGAGGAGAGACUCAACAACUGCAUGAUAGAUACUUAUAUGUAUAUAAUGUUUGUUCUUUUGUUGUUAUUUUUGUAUGAUGUAUUGUGUUCAUUUAUAUAUGCCUUCAACCCCAUUGGGGUAUAAAUGUGCAUUUAUUCAAUAAACAUAAACAUGUAAUGUACACUGUGUGGAAUUAACUCCCUUCCCUGUAUGUUUUGUUGCUGACUUUACUAGCUCUUUCUACAGCAUCAAAGUUUAGAAAAAAGGAAUAUUGACCAAUAUGCAUUUUGGACUAGAGGAGAAUAGUUGCUCUUCAUGUUGCAUUUGCUUUAAGGUAUAUAACGAUGAUUAUCGGUUAGGCAGCAAUCAUUUGAUUUUCUGGGGGGGGGGGGGGGCUAUGGUUUUUUUCUGGACAAUUUUUUUUUUUCUUUCAAUUUUAGCAUUACAUAUAUGCAGCUGUGGGGAAACAAACAUUUUUUUUUUCUCAGAAUCAAAACAAAUAUUUUUUCUCCAAAAACUGGAAACAAAUUUUUUUCCAAAAAAAACAAUAGCCCCCCCCCCCCAAUAAAAUGGUUGCUGCCUUACAUCAUUUUAACAUACCCUCAUCGUAUAGCGCCGGCAGCCAUCUAUCAAACGGCCCUAAAGGUCAAUAAGAUAAAGUAAUAUUGAAGUUUUCUGGAUCUUAACCACUUGAGAUCUUUAAUCAUUAAAUUAAAGUUUCAAAACAAAAAAUAACUCCCUCUCAAUAACUUUUUGUUUAUCUUUACAGGUCCAGAUACCAGUACAACAAAUACGCUGAUGCUGACAGAUCUGGACAUGAUGGAUUAUUUUGGGUAAUACUAUAAAAUGUUUGAUUUUGUAUUGUUUUAAUUUUCAUUUUAUUAUUUGCGCGGGAGAGGUUGUGGGUGCCCAAUAUCCUUCAAGUAUUGUUCGAGUUAUUUAUCCAUUUCAUUUUUGUAUGAUUGUAUAUUUGAUUAUGUAUCGUAUUUAGUAAAUAAGUCAACUUUUAAACCCGACUACAAAGAAUAGCCUAUGUUAAACAAAAUGGCAAUAUUAUAAGAUGUAAAAUAAAAUCCGUGAGGUUAAAUAUUUAUGACCCAUCCAAUCAAAAUACCAACCAACAAGCGAAUGCAAAGAAAGAAAACUCAGAUAUUGGCAUAUACAUGAAUACGUCGACUCGCUCGCAUCAGUGAAAAACAGAUUAGUACAUCAAAAUUUUUUUUGAGUUCAUAUUAUACUUGGAUUAAAUAAGAAAAUAUCAAAUAUCAUCUCGAAUCUGCAUGCCUUCGAUUACCUCACAGUGAAAAUACUUCAUUUAUUGUUUUCCAAUAAAACAAUAUCUAGGAUUAGGUUUUAUAGGGAUUUAACUGUACAUAUAUAUACAUGUACGUAAAUGUGAGACAUCAACCAAACAAAACACUUAAAUAGAAAAGGUAUCAAGAGGUCAUUUUACCUGCUUUCAAGGUAAUCGACAUCUUCGCUAGCCAAGGGUUACGAUCCACUCCCGCUCUCUUCACGUGAAGAGAGCGGGAGUGGAUCGUUACCCUUGGCUAGCGAAGAUGGGUAAUCGAUUACACUAACACAUUCAUGUAUCAUAAGGCACAGAUAACUGCAUGUGAAAGUCAAGCAAACUCUAAAUAAUAGCUGAUUUUACCCUUUUUUUAGGCAUUCACAAACUGUAUAAAACAUCUUACAUGAGGAAAAGAUGUGUGUUUAUUUCAACAGGUCACAAACCUAGCAACACAAUAAAACCUGAAUAAAAAAAAUUGACAAAUAGAAACGACAAAUGAUACCAAAUGGGAGUGUCAAAACUUCAAACCUAAAAGGUACCGACAAUAUCAUGCCAAACAAAAAGAAAAAAGGACAAAAAGACGAACAACAAUCUACAGAAAACAACAUAAAUUGAGCAAUACAACUCUUACAAAAAAUAUGUUUACUUUAGUCCUAUCUAACAUGCGCUACAUGUGGCACCCUUCUACCCCAUUCACAGUGUAUUUUCUUUUUACUUUUAGGGUCAACUUAGACAUCUUGAUGUCGUUUUGAUGUUGC
rnacentral:lncRNA from 1 species